rnacentral:tRNA from 1 species
CAAAGUAGUUCUUUUUAGUAAGGUAUAUCAUUUACACUGAUAUUUUUUCUGUGCAAUUCAGAAUGCUUUGA